GCACCAAGCUGCACAAAAAACACAAAUGAAGACAUUCUAUACAUAUUCAAGCUGGCAAAAAAGGAAGCUCCUCAACUUUCUUUGUGAUCUUGGGGUUUUACUCUCUACAAGAAAUGUACACAAACUCACAAAGAACCAUUAAAUGCAUAUGGACUAAAAGGAACAAUGUGUGAAAAUUAAGCGUUGAGGGAAAAAUCAGAACAAACACAAGCUUGAUUACUANNN
rnacentral:lncRNA from 1 species